rnacentral:rRNA from 1 species
UACGAAGGGGGCUAGCGUUGCUCGGAAUCACUGGGCGUAAAGCGCACGUAGGCGGACAUUUAAGUCAGAGGUGAAAUCCCAAGGCUCAACCUUGGAACUGCCUUUGAUACUGGGUGUCUUGAGUUCGGGAGAGGUGAGUGGAACUGCGAGUGUAGAGGUGAAAUUCGUAGAUAUUCGCAAGAACACCAGUGGCGAAGGCGGCUCACUGGCCCGAUACUGACGCUGAGGCACGAAAGCGUGGGGAGCAAACAGG